GGCGAUAAAUCAUUCAAGUUUCUGCCCUAUCAGCUUUGGAUGGUAGUGUAUUGGACUACCAUGGCAGUCACGGGUAACGGAGAAUUAGGGUUCGAUUCCGGAGAGGGAGCCUGAGAAACGGCUACCACAUCUACGGAAGGCAGCAGGAGCGAAAAUUGCCCAAUCCCGACACGGGGAGGCAGUGACGAGAAAUAACAACUCUUGGUUAUUCUAAGAAGUGUAAUGAGGAUAAUUUAAAACCCUUACCGAAAGCAAUUGGAGGGCAAGUCUGGUGCCAGCAGCCGCGGUAAUUCCAGCUCCAAUAGCGUAUAUUAAAGUUGUUGCAGUUAAAAAGCUCGUAGUUGAAGUUCUGGCUGCUUGACCCUCGAGCUCUGUAGCCGAGGGCUCAGCAGUCAUCCGCUUGCAAAUAUAUGUUCGCCUUUAACCGGGCGGCUAUAUGAGUAAGCAUUUUACCUUGAGAAAAACAGAGUGUUCCAGGCAGGUUUGUCCGGAAUGCAUUAGCAUGGAAUAAUAGAAUAUGACUGAAGUCGAUUUAUUGGUUUGAGGCUUUAGUAAUGAUUAAUAUGAACAGUCGGGGGCAUUGGUACUUGUCAGUCAGAGGUGAAAUUCUAGGAUUUGACAAAGACUAACAAAUGCGAAAGCAUUUGCCAAGGAUGUUUUCAUUAAUCAAGAACGAAAGUUAGGGGAUCAAAGACGAUCAGAUACCGUCCUAGUCUUAACUAUAAACUAUACCGACUCGGAUUCAGAUGAAUCAUAAAGUUCAUUUGGGACCGUAGGAGAAAUCAAAGUUUUUGGGUUCUGGGGGAAGUAUGGUCGCAAGGCUGAAACUUAAAGGAAUUGACGGUUUUGCACCACCAUGGAGUGGAGUCUGCGGCUUAAUUUGACCCAACACUGGGAAACUCAUCAGGGCAAGAAGAUUGUAGGAUUGACAGAUUGAGAGUUCUUUCUUGAUUGGUCUAGUGGUGGUGCAUGGCCGUUCUUAGUUGGUGGAGUGAUUUGUCUGGUUAAUUCCGUUAACGAACGAGACCUUAACCUGCUAACUAGUACACCGAUGACAAAUCGGUGAUACUUCUUAGAGGGACUAUGUGAUGUAAUCACAUGGAAGUUUGAGGCAAUAACAGGUCUGUGAUGCCCUUAGAUGUCCUGAGCUGCACGCGUACUACAAUGGUGCUUUCAUCGAGCUUUUCCUGAUCCGAAAGGAUUUGGGUAAUCUUUUUAGUGAGCACCGUGCUUGGGAUAGAUCUUUGUAAUUAUGGAUCUUGAACUAGGAAUUCCUAGUAAGCACGUGUCAUCAGCACGU
rnacentral:rRNA from 1 species